rnacentral:rRNA from 1 species
AUAUUGCACAAUGGGCGAAAGCCUGAUGCAGCAACGCCGCGUGAGCGAAGAAGGCCUNNNGGUCGNACAGCUCUGUCCUAGGGNAAGNAAAAAAUGACGGUACCCUUGGAGGAAGCCCCGGCUAACUACGUGCCAGCAGCCGCGGUAAUACGUAGGGGGCAAGCGUUAUCCGGAAUUAUUGGGCGUAAAGAGUGCGUAGGUGGUUUUGUAAGCGCGGGGUGAAAGGCAAUAGCUCAACUAUUGUAAGCCUUGCGAACUGUGAGACUUGAGUGCAGGAGAGGAAAGUGGAAUUCCUAGUGUAGCGGUGAAAUGCGUAGAUAUUAGGAGGAACACCGAUGGCGAAGGCAGCCCCCUGGGAUAAUACUGACGCUCAGACACGAAAGCGUGGGGAGCAAACAG